GUUGUUCAAGUGAUAUAUAACUGAAAUUAUACAGAAAAUUUAGUUUCUAAUAUGGAGCUGUUUUUGAUAUAUAGCGUCGAAUUCAAUUUCCACUUUAAAGCCCCCCCAUUGAGUAUGAGAGCCCCCCUGAAAAUAAAGUUUUUUUUAUUUGUUUAUGCAAUAUUCGGCUCAAGGCCAUCAGUUUAGAUAUUAUGUUUAAAUUUGAAGUAAUUACGUUCGGUAAUUCAGAAGCUAUAAGGUUCUGGUAGAGACGGACGGACGGCCAAGUGCAAUUUCACUCAAGUAGACUCAGAGACCUCGCUUCGCUCGGUCAAUUAAGACAAGUCUAAAUAUUACU